rnacentral:piRNA from 1 species
UUACAAGGACCGCAAUUUUGGCAUGACCUC